rnacentral:rRNA from 1 species
AUUGAACGCUGGCGGCAUGCUUUACACAUGCAAGUCGAGCGGUAACAGGCCGCAAGGUGCUGACGAGUGGCGAACGGGUGAGUAAUGCAUCGGAACGUGCCCAGUCGUGGGGGAUAACGCAGCGAAAGCUGUGCUAGUACCGCAUACGAUCUAUGGAUGAAAGCGGGGGACCGUAAGGCCUCGCGCGAUUGGAGCGGCCGAUGUCAGAUUAGGUAGUUGGUGGGGUAAAGGCCUACCAAGCCGACGAUCUGUAGCUGGUCUGAGAGGACGACCAGCCACACUGGGACUGAGACACGGGCCAGACUCCGACGGGAGGCAGCAGUGGGGAAUUUUGGACAAUGGGCGCAAGCCUGAUCCAGCAAUGCCGCGUGCAGGAAGAAGGCCUUCGGGUUGUAAACUGCUUUUGUACGGAACGAAACGGUCUGGGUUAAUACCCUGGGCUAAUGACGGUACCGUAAGAAUAAGCACCGGCUAACUACGUGCCAGCCGCCGCGGUAAAAC